GACGAACGCUGGCGGCGUGCUUAACACAUGCCAGUCGAACGGAAAGGCCUCUUUCGGGGGGUACUCGAGUGGCGAACGGGUGAGUAACACGUGAGUAACCUGCCCUUGACUUUGGGAUAACUUCAGGAAACUGGGGCUAAUACCGGAUAGGAGCUCCUGCUGCAUGGUGGGGGUUGGAAAGUUUCGGCGGUUGGGGAUGGACUCGCGGCUUAUCAGCUUGUUGGUGGGGUAGUGGCUUACCAAGGCUUUGACGGGUAGCCGGCCUGAGAGUGUGACCGGCCACAUUGGGACUGAGAUACGGCCCAGACUCCUACGGGAGGCAGCAGUGGGGAAUAUUGCACAAGGGGUGGAAGCCUGGUGCAGCAACGCCGUGUGCGGGAUGACGGCCUUCGGGUUGUAAACCGCUUUCGCUCAUGACGAAGCUUUGUGUGACGGUAGUGGGUAAAGAAGCACCGGCUAACUACGUG
rnacentral:rRNA from 1 species